CCUACGGGAGGCAGCAGUGAGGAAUAUUGGUCAAUGGGCGGAAGCCUGAACCAGCCAAGUAGCGUGCGGGAUGAAGGCCCUACGGGUCGUAAACCGCUUUUGCACAGGGACAACACCCUCCACUUGUGGAGGUCUGCAGGUACCGUUCGAAUAAGGGCCGGCUAAUUCCGUGCCCGCAGCCGCGGUAAUACUGAAGGCCCGAGGGUUAUCCGGAUUCAUUGGGGUUAAAGGGGGCGUAGGCGGGCGUGUAAGUCAGCUGUAAAAUUGUGGGGCUCAACCGCGCCCCGCCGUUGAAACUGGACGCCUUGAGUUCACGACAGGCAGGCGGAAUUCGUGGUGUAGCGGUGAAAUGCAUAGAUAUCACGAGGAACCUCGAUUGCGAAGGCAGCCUGCCGGGGUGCGACUGACACUGAGGCUCGAAGGUGCGGGUAUCAAACAGGAUUAGAUACCCCUGUAGUC
rnacentral:rRNA from 1 species